rnacentral:rRNA from 1 species
GUGAGAGUGGCGCACGGGUGCGUAACGCGUGAGCAACCUGCCCAUAUCAGGGGGAUAGCCCGGAGAAAUCCGGAUUAACACCGCAUGACACUGCUUUCCGGCAUCGGGAGGCAGUCAAAUAUUCAUAGGAUAUGGAUGGGCUCGCGUGACAUUAGCUAGUUGGUGGGGUAACGGCCCACCAAGGCGACGAUGUCUAGGGGCUCUGAGAGGAGAAUCCCCCACACUGGUACUGAGACACGGACCAGACUCCUACGGGAGGCAGCAGUAAGGAAUAUUGGUCAAUGGGGGCAACCCUGAACCAGCCAUGCCGCGUGCAGGACGACUGCCCUAUGGGUUGUAAACUGCUUUUGUUAGGGAAUAAACCCCGCUACGUGUAGCGGGCUGAAUGUACCUAAAGAAUAAGGAUCGGCUAACUCCGUGCCAGCAGCCGCGGUAAUACGGAGGAUCCGAGCGUUAUCCGGAUUUAUUGGGUUUAAAGGGUGCGUAGGCGGCACUUUAAGUCAGGGGUGAAAGACGGCAGCUCAACUGUCGCAGUGCCCUUGAUACUGAAGUGCUUGAAUGCGGUUGAAGACGGCGGAAUGAGACAAGUAGCGGUGAAAUGCAUAGAUAUGUCUCAGAACACCGAUUGCGAAGGCAGCUGUCUAAGCCGUUAUUGACGCUGAUGCACGAAAGCGUGGGGAUCGAACAGGAUUAGAUACCCUGGUAGUCCACGCCCUAAACGAUGAUGACUCGAUGUUUGCGAUAUACCGUAAGCGUCCAAGCGAAAGCGUUAAGUCAUCCA